UACGUAGGGUGCAAGCGUUGUCCGGAAUUCUUGGGCGUAAAGGGCUCGUAGGCGGUCCAUCGCGUCGGGAGUGAAAAGCUGGGGCUUAACCCCAGUCCUGCUUCCGAUACGGGUGGACUAGAGGUAGGUAGGGGAGAACGGAAUUCCUGGUGUAGCGGUGAAAUGCGUUGAUAUUGGAAGGAACUCCGGUGGCGAAAGCGAACGGCUGGAUCUCUUCUGACGCUGAGGCGCGAAAGCCAGGGGAGCAAACGGG
rnacentral:rRNA from 1 species